rnacentral:tRNA from 1 species
UGGCGCAUGGCUGCAGCUGGCAGAGCGGCUGACUCUUAAUCAGCGGGUCGCAGGUUCGAGCCCUACUGCGCCCACCA